UUUCCGUAGGUGAACCUGCGGAAGGAUCAUUACAGUAGUCGCCCGGGUUGCCGCAAGGCCUCCCGGGUAACCUACCACCCUUUGUUUAUUACACUUUGUUGCUUUGGCAGGCCUGCCCUCGGGCUGCUGGCUCCGGCUGGCGAGCGCUUGCCAGAGGACCUAAACUCUGUUUGUCUAUACUGUCUGAGUACUAUAUAAUAGUUAAAACUUUCAACAACGGAUCUCUUGGUUCUG
rnacentral:misc_RNA from 1 species